rnacentral:rRNA from 1 species
CCUACGGGAGGCAGCAGUGAGGAAUAUUGGUCAAUGGCCGAGAGGCUGAACCAGCCAAGUCGCGUGAGGGAAGACGGCCCUACGGGUUGUAAACCUCUUUUGUCGGGGAGCAAAGCGAACCACGUGUGGUUCAUUGAGAGUACCCGAAGAAAAAGCAUCGGCUAACUCCGUGCCAGCAGCCGCGGUAAUACGGAGGAUGCGAGCGUUAUCCGGAUUUAUUGGGUUUAAAGGGAGCGUAGGUGGAUUGUUAAGUCAGUUGUGAAAGUUUGCGGCUCAACCGUAAAAUUGCAGUUGAAACUGGCAGUCUUGAGUACAGUAGAGGUGGGCGGAAUUCGUGGUGUAGCGGUGAAAUGCUUAGAUAUCACGAAGAACUCCGAUUGCGAAGGCAGCUUACCAAGCUACUUCUGACGUUGAGGCACGAAAGCGUGGGGAGCAAACAGGAUUAGAUACCCUUGUAGUC